AAAAAAUGCCAGUCGAGUAAAUUUGAAACCUUGCCACGUGGCCAUAAAAACCAGGCUAACAAAUGUACUCAGGCCAGGAGCUGCGCCUGGCAGCAGCAGGAGCCGGUCCAGGACUAGACCCGACAUCGGGAUGUAAGUAACGUUGGGGGGCAGCAACUGGAACUGCAUUUUAGGGCCAUAUUUUAUACACACUUAGAGUCACACACAGACACAGAGGACACUGGAUAGAGGAUACGGGAUACUGGAUACAGAGAGCGCUGCAGUGUCAAAGGCAAUGCAGGCAGAGAUAAAGAACCGAAGGCGAGAAAGGAGCAUCGAAAAACAAAAGGUUAAAAACUUCUUUGCCCGCACCAGCCCAGAGAGAAAAGUGUGAAAAAGUGUCGAGCGCAGGAACUGGGUUAAGCAAAUGCCAGGAGCCAAGACAAGCUUCCCAAUAUUAAUAAAUGCGUCUCGGAAUUAAUGUGUUCCUCCUCCCCACUAAACACCACCACUAAACAGCGAGAAGAGACCAGAGACAAGACGAGACACUUGGGUGAGGGCAAGUCAAAAUGCCCAAUUGAAUUUUAAUUAACUAACAAUGUCUGAAGCAAGGGUCGCCAUCUGCUUGGACUGAGCUGGAAAAUACUUGCGGCUAGAUGGAUAUUUUCCAUAAGAUGCAACACAUUGCCCCAAAUAUUUUCCACUGUAAUUGCUGUUCAAUAUGCCACAUCAUUUUCGGCUCAUUAAUCACUGAGCCAGUUUCAUUAGAGCGAAAAUGAAAAUAUAGAAGGAAAUGCUAUAGAAUUAUUAGCCAAUAAAUGG
rnacentral:lncRNA from 1 species